rnacentral:rRNA from 1 species
GACGAACGCUGGCGGCGUGCCUAAUACAUGCAAGUCGAGCGCAGGAAACUGACGGAACUCUUCGGAGGGAAGGCAGCGGAAUGAGCGGCGGACGGGUGAGUAACACGUAAGGAACCUGCCUCAAGGAUUGGGAUAACUCCGAGAAAUCGGAGCUAAUACCGGAUAGUUCAUCGGACCGCAUGGUCCGUUGAUGAAAGGCGCUCCGGCGUCACCUUGAGAUGGCCUUGCGGUGCAUUAGCUAGUUGGUGGGGUAACGGCCCACCAAGGCGACGAAACAUAGGCGACCUGGGAGGGUGAUCGGCCACACUGGGACUGAGACACGGCCCAGACUCCUACGGGAGGCAGCAGUAGGGAAUCUUCCACAAUGGACGAAAGUCUGAUGGAGCAACGCCGCGUGAGUGAUGAAGGUUUUCGGAUCGUAAAACUCUGUUGUAAGGGAAGAACACGUACGAGAGGAAAUGCUCGUACCUUGACGGUACCUUACGAGAAAGCCACGGCUAACUACGUGCCAGCAGCCGCCGUAA